AGGAAGAACCAGAAUAUCUUCCUUAAUUAAACAACAAAAGAAAAGAUUUUUUUGUUGUUUGUUGUUUGUUUAUUGUUUGUUGUUUUUUCUUCCACCCUUCUUCUUU
rnacentral:ribozyme from 13 species